CUGUCUGAAACUCUCGCCACCUCCAACUUGCCUCUCCAAACAUCCUCGUCUUCCCAUUCCCUUGGUUCGCAACACUCUCCUCGGCGCUGCUCUCUCCUUCGGGCUUGUCUUCUCCUUCCCCUCUGUCUCUGCUUCCCAAAUAUGUCGUGAUGUGGAACCCAUACAAGAGACGCUCCAAACAGCUCCCGAGGUUGUCACCAACGAAGGCCUCGUCGAGGAAGCAUGGCAGAUUGUCAACGACACCUUUCUCGACACUGGUCGCCACAGAUGGUCCCAGGACACUUGGCAGCUGAAGAGGGAAGCUAUUUUGAGCAAUUCCAUUCAGACAAGAUCAAAGGCGCACCACAUCAUCAAACGAAUGCUCUCCAGCUUGGCCGAUCCUUAUACUCGCUUUCUCUCCCCUGAUGAGUUCUCCAAGAUGGCAAGGUAUGACAUGACUGGUGUUGGAAUAAACCUUAAGGAAGUUCCUGAUGAAAAUGGAGACCUCAGACUGGAGGUUCUGGGAAUUAUAUUGGAUGGUCCUGCUCAUUCUGCUGGUGUUAGACAGGGGGAUGAAAUAUUGGCUGUCAAUAACAUGGAGGUAAAGGGAAAAUCAGCAUUUGAAGUAUCAUCCCUGUUGCAAGGCCCUAAUGGAACAUCUGUGACUAUUCAGGUCAAGCAUGGCAACUGUGGACCCGUUGAAUCAAUAGAAGUCCAGCGGCAACUUGUUGCUCGUACCCCAGUCUUUUAUCGGCUGGAACAAUUGGACAAUGGUGUUACUUCUGUUGGGUAUAUACGCCUCAAAGAGUUCAAUGCAUUGGCCAGAAAAGACUUAGUCAUUGCAAUGAAACGACUUCAAGACAUGGGUGCCUCAUAUUUCAUAUUGGAUCUCAGAGACAAUCUUGGUGGGCUAGUACAGGCCGGAAUUGAAAUUGCAAAGCUUUUCCUAAAUGAAGGAGACACGGUGAUCUACACUGUUGGAAGAGAUCCUCAGUUACAGAAAGCUAUUGUUACAGAUACUUCACCAUUGAUUCAAGCUCCUGUUGUUAUUUUAGUAAACGACAAAACUGCUAGUGCAAGUGAAAUAGUUGCUUCUGCACUUCAUGAUAAUUGUAGAGCUGUUCUUGUUGGAAAACGCACAUAUGGCAAGGGUCUAAUCCAAUCUGUAUUUGAGCUUGAUGAUGGAUCUGGUGUGGUUAUCACUGUUGGGAAGUAUGUAACACCAAAUCACAAGGACAUAAACGGCAAUGGAAUAGAGCCUGACUUCCAGAAACUUCCAGCAUGGGAUGAUAUCAGCCGACAUCUUAAAAAAUGCAGUAUGUCACAACAGGGAUAAAGCAGUCUCUUUGGUAUUCCGAUGCAAUAUAUUGCUUUGGACUUAUCAUUUAAAUUGAAACUUUUGAUGAAUCUGCUCGCUGGAAGCUGCUUUGUAUAUCUCAAGAAUUUCAAGUUAAUAUAGAUAUAUGCCUGAAUGGUCUGCCUAGCCUUCUUGGCUACAAUGGCAUUUAAUUCAACAUACAUUGGCCUAACACCCAAGAUUGGCUUGGAAUAUUUGUAACCGUUCCAUUCAAGAUGAAGUGUAUAGUGGAUACGACAUGAGAAGAAAUGACCCUAGGAAGCAUGCAAGAGUUUUUAUUCAAGCAGCCAGUUCAGAACAGAAGUGACUAGGGUUUAAUGCAUACUAACAUAUAGAAGCUUUGUUGUACAUUUUUAUGAACCUUUUGAUACUAUGUUCCUUUUUUACCUCGCACCACAUCCUCCCCAAUAUUAAUGUGUAUCAGACGUAUUAGUUGAUUGUUCAAGUGCUUGGAAAAAAUGCCACUUUAUUGGUAAAGAAUUCAUUACAGAUUGACAAUGACGAAAAUGGAAAUUGGGAAUCAUUACUGCUUAUAUUUUCA